rnacentral:rRNA from 1 species
UACGUAGGGGGCUAGCGUUGUCCGGAAUCAUUGGGCGUAAAGCGCGUGUAGGCGGUCCGGUAAGUCCGCUGUGAAAGUCGGGGGCUCAACCCUCGGAUGCCGGUGGAUACUGUCGGGCUUGAGUACGGAAGAGGCGAGUGGAAUUCCUGGUGUAGCGGUGAAAUGCGCAGAUAUCAGGAGGAACACCGAUGGCGAAGGCAGGAUCUCUGGGCCAAGCUACUGACGCUGGAGAAGCGAAAGCAUGGGGAGCGAACAGG